CGUGCUGCUGGGACCAUGUGCUGCGGUGAUUCUUCUGAGAUGGAUUCAGGAGCCCCGGCCUGCGGAGUCUCCUCCACUGAACACGGUCUCUGAGGGAGGCUGCCUGCCCGGCAGCCGGCGGACCGGAGGGAGCUGCUGGGAAGAAACCAGACAGAGACUGAAGACAGACAUGAAACACCCAGGGGAGCUGAAGAUUUCCUGCCUAAAGCAUGCAGUGUCCAUCGCACUCUGGAACAGCCACACCAGCAGUUGCCCAAGAGCAGGAAGAAACUGUCUGCAGCAGAAUACAGCAGAGCCUCGAGCCUUGCCUGCAAACCCCAGGGCAGCUGCUUUGGCCUACCUUCUAACCUUCACUGGCAUGCUUGGACAGAGAUGUCAGCAGCCACAAUGCUGCCUUUGCUGUCAUGGCAGGAAUAAAUGUGCUGAGUUGCAAAGCUU